CCUACGGGAGGCAGCAGUGGGGAAUUUUGGACAAUGGACGAAAGUCUGAUCCAGCCAUGCCGCGUGCGGGAAGAAGGCCUUCGGGUUGUAAACCGCUUUUGUCAGGGAAGAAAUCUUCUGGGCUAAUAACUCGGGAGGAUGACGGUACCUGAAGAAUAAGCACCGGCUAACUACGUGCCAGCAGCCGCGGUAAUACGUAGGGUGCAAGCGUUAAUCGGAAUUACUGGGCGUAAAGCGUGCGCAGGCGGUUAUGCAAGACAGAUGUGAAAUCCCCGGGCUCAACCUGGGAACUGCAUUUGUGACUGCAUAGCUAGAGUGCGGCAGAGGGGGGAUGGAAUUCCGCGUGUAGCAGUGAAAUGCGUAGAUAUGCGGAGGAACACCGAUGGCGAAGGCAAUCCCCUGGGCCUGCACUGACGCUCAUGCACGAAGACGGUGGGGAGGACGAACAGGAGUUAGUAUACCGUCGGUAGUACCGACCGACCCGUAAACCGAACUGUACUAACCUGGUUGGUUAGGGUAAGGUUACCGUUCCUUCAGUAACGUAGCUACGCGUGAGUGACCGCCGUGGGAGGUACGGCCGCGAGGUUAGUAAACGUUAAAGGUAAGUUAGACGGCGUGAGACGUAGACCGACGGACGACGACGAGGGGAGGAGGG
rnacentral:rRNA from 1 species